AUACAUGCAAGUCGAGCGAAUGGAUUAAGAGCUUGCUCUUAUGAAGUUAGCGGCGGACGGGUGAGUAACACGUGGGUAACCUGCCCAUAAGACUGGGAUAACUCCGGGAAACCGGGGCUAAUACCGGAUAACAUUUUGAACCGCAUGGUUCGAAAUUGAAAGGCGGCUUCGGCUGUCACUUAUGGAUGGACCCGCGUCGCAUUAGCUAGUUGGUGAGGUAACGGCUCACCAAGGCAACGAUGCGUAGCCGACCUGAGAGGGUGAUCGGCCACACUGGGACUGAGACACGGCCCAGACUCCUACGGGAGGCAGCAGUAGGGAAUCUUCCGCAAUGGACGAAAGUCUGACGGAGCAACGCCGCGUGAGUGAUGAAGGCUUUCGGGUCGUAAAACUCUGUUGUUAGGGAAGAACAAGUGCUAGUUGAAUAAGCUGGCACCUUGACGGUACCUAACCAGAAAGCCACGGCUAACUACGUGCCAGCAGCCGCGGUAAUACGUAGGUGGCAAGCGUUAUCCGGAAUUAUUGGGCGUAAAGCGCGCGCAGGUGGUUUCUUAAGUCUGAUGUGAAAGCCCACGGCUCAACCGUGGAGGGUCAUUGGAAACUGGGAGACUUGAGUGCAGAAGAGGAAAGUGGAAUUCCAUGUGUAGCGGUGAAAUGCGUAAAGAUAUGGAGGAACACCAGUGGCGAAGGCGACUUUCUGGUCUGUAACUGACACUGAGGCGCGAAAGCGUGGGGAGCAAACAGGAUUAGAUA
rnacentral:rRNA from 1 species